AUUGAACGCUGGCGGCAUGCUUUACACAUGCAAGUCGAACGGUAACAGGCCGCAAGGUGCUGACGAGUGGCGAACGGGUGAGUAAUGCAUCGGAACGUGCCCAGUCGUGGGGGAUAACUACUCGAAAGAGUAGCUAAUACCGCAUACGAUCUAUGGAUGAAAGCGGGGGACCGUAAGGCCUCGCGCGAUUGGAGCAGCCGAUGUCAGAUUAGGUAGUUGGUGGGGUAAAGGCUCACCAAGCCAACGAUCUGUAGCUGGUCUGAGAGGACGACCAGCCACACUGGGACUGAGACACGGCCCAGACUCCUACGGGAGGCAGCAGUGGGGAAUUUUGGACAAUGGGCGCAAGCCUGAUCCAGCAAUGCCGCGUGCAGGAAGAAGGCCUUCGGGUUGUAAACUGCUUUUGUACGGAACGAAACGGCUCUGGUUAAUACCCGGGGCUAAUGACGGUACCGUAAGAAUAAGCACCGGCUAACUACGU
rnacentral:rRNA from 1 species